ensembl:lncRNA
CUCAGCCUUGGAUGCCCCCCCCCCCCUCCCCAGCCCGCGUCUCCCCAACAUCAGCAAAAAGGCUGUAGGAGGCGGGACUGGGUGCAAUCUCAGGAUGCAGCUCUCCCGGUUUGGGUCUCCUCUUUCUCGGCUGGGUGGCCUUUCCACCACACACGGCCCAGAAGGGUUUCAGAGUGAGAGAGUGUGUGCAUCCUCGGAGCCCAGUUACCGAACACAGGGAAUCUGUGAAGCGAAGACCUGAGCUGGGCCGAGGCGCUCCGAAGGGAGCUCCAGGGCCCGCCGGCCGGCGCGGGGAAGGAUUUGAGGCAGCAAAGUGAUGCCUGUUGGAGCCCCUUGUCAGGUUAGGGCUUCGAGGUCUGGCAGGGGCUCAAUGAACAGGUCUCAGUUGCUGAUGGACCAGAGUGUUCUACAAGCUGGAGGAGCCUAUUGAUACUUAGUUUUGAUCAUCUGUGCCAAGCUUUGAGUCUUUUUGGUUUGAAUGCGUCAGAGUCUUGUCUGGAAAUCUACCCUGAGACUAUUUUUAGCCUGUUUGGCUGGGGCUCAGCUGCUCUAUGGAAACAUUGUGCAGGCAGGGCUGUUCUUUGUCCUCAGGUGCUGACUCCAGCAGGCGGCCACAAGCGUUUGAGGUACUCCUGUUUCUCGGAUGGACCCAGCCCACGGUUUAUGGGAAACCUCAGGUUCUUGAAUCUUAAUUCAGGACUGAGGGUCUCUGGAGUCAGCUCCAGCCAAGGGGUAAGAGACCCCCAGGGAUUCCUGGGUUCCCUGCUGCUCCUGCCGGGACUGUGUUGGCAGCUGGACACUGAUGGGAUGUUUGCACUUUGCCUCAGCUUCUGCCCCAAACAAGCUGCCCACAUGGCACCCCCUAGCCUUUGCAGGAGCUGUUUCCUCUUCCCUUCAUCCUUUUUGGUCAGCACACACUGCCUUCCGAAAGUUUCCCCCUUUUCCACACGGCACAGCUGGCCACUUUCUUUUCUGAGUCCUAAGGGACUUUGUACCAUCUCUGUCCUGGACACAAGGUAGGACUGACAAUGGUCACCAGUCUGCUCCCUUCCCUGGAUGGGGGCCCAUCCUGGCUCCUGCACAUCACAGGACUUUGCAAAGGGCUGCAGAAUAAAGGCGCUUGAGGAGAGGUAGAGUGCAACAUGGAACAGGAGGAGCCAAGGGAUCCCAGGACCAGGAGGCACGGGCAGUGUGCAGAUGACUCAAGGGUGGGGAUGAGAGACCCAACAUGUCAAAGACUUUAAUUCAACUCUGUCGAAGCCUCUGAUUCCUCGUAGAAAGACUGAAGGACGAUGGCCAUCGUUUCAGUGGUAAUAAUCACACAUGGAUCUGGAAAAGCGCCUUGCAGCAGUCUUCACAUGGAGAGGAGCACAGCACUGCUCACUUUUCUGGGGUCUGAUCCCAAACCCUGACCACUGAGAUGAGGCUGAGAAGUGGGGAGGCAGGAAAGGGCCGGGGUAUGGCGCUAUCUCUGAAUAGACCUGUUCUACG